rnacentral:rRNA from 1 species
GACGAACGCUGGCGGCGUGCUUAACACAUGCAAGUCGAACGGAAAGGCCCUGCUUUUGUGGGGUGCUCGAGUGGCGAACGGGUGAGUAACACGUGAGUAACCUGCCCUUGACUUUGGGAUAACUUCAGGAAACUGGGGCUAAUACCGGAUAGGAGCUCCUGCUGCAUGGUGGGGGUUGGAAAGUUUCGGCGGUUGGGGAUGGACUCGCGGCUUAUCAGCUUGUUGGUGGGGUAGUGGCUUACCAAGGCUUUGACGGGUAGCCGGCCUGAGAGGGUGACCGGCCACAUUGGGACUGAGAGACGGCCCAGACUCCUACGGGAGGCAGCAGUGGGGAAUAUUGCACAAUGGGCGGACGCCUGAUGCAGCAACGCCGCGUGCGGGAUGACGGCCUUCGGGUUGUAAACCGCUUUCGACUGUGACGAAGCGUGAGUGACGGUAAUGGGUAAAGAAGCACCGGCUAACUACGUG